GAAGGUUUUCCAGACCUUGCAAAGUUUACCCUCAGAAAUCCCAUCAAGAAAGUGGCUUGUAGAUUACAUGAUGGAGCUUGGGUUCUUCAAAUCACUUUCCCAGUGGGUUGGCAAUAACCUUAUGAAAUCUGGGGACCAUGAAACAUGGGCUUUUGAUCUCCAAGGUGCUGUUGAUAUGUUCAAUUCAUACAGGUUUCAGUUGGUGAUAUUGUGGUGACUCCAAUUUGAAUCAAUCAAUUUAUUCCAAUUUGUUCUUUUGAAGCUACUUCAGAAUUGAUGAAUUGAAGGAGAUGAUGAGAAGAUAAAGGAUGAACUAUUUUAAGUUUCUACUACUGGUGCUAGUGGUGACAGUUACUAAGAAGGCUGACCCCAAGGUGCUGGCUAACAAAGCUUCCAAGGCUGUCAAAGCUGGAGCAUCAACCAUUAAGAAGAAGGCUAAGAAUAUCUGCACAUCAGUCAUAUUUCACAGGCCAAAGACAUUGCAGAAGGCAAGGAAUCCCAAGUACCAAUAUAUUAGUGCACUACCAAGGAACAAGCUGGACCAUUACCAGAUCCUGAAAUACCCACUCACCACCGAGUCCGCAAUGAAGAAGAUUGAAGACAAC